rnacentral:lncRNA from 1 species
ACCAAGCCCUGGAAAGCAGCUGUGGGCUGACGAGGAGGGCAGGAAGAGGGGGAAACCGGCAGAACUCUUCCUGGAUCAAAGACAGGCAGUUAAUGGCCUUCCACUGGCCACCGGGCAUCUGGGUAAUAACAAGCAGACAAGAAAGCCCAUCCCGGUAAUCACAGCGUCUGAUGUCUUUGGAGCACUCUUAAAGAAAUUAACCCCAAACACAGGAUCCUAUAAACCAGUUGCAUCUUCCUGCACCUCAUGCUCAUGUGCACAAUGACAUGCUUUUCUCAGCUCUCUGCUAAUUGUUUUCUGCCUUGGACUGGGCUCCUGAUGGACCCCUGGGCAGGGACAGUGCCUUCUGUUCUUCUGGUGUCCCUUACAAAGCUAGCAUUUGCAAGCUGGGCAGGGGUGCAGCAGUAGGGGGAUGGCAAGGCUCUCUGCACCCCUCCACCAAAUAUCUUCCUCACUUCCCUUCAAAUCACUGAGCCUACCUGGAAGGUCCCAAAGAGGUGGGAGCAUCAGAGAGGUAGAACACCCCGACCCUCGAGGAGUUGUCAUGUUCAUGGUGGCAAGUGGAGAAGAGCAAGCGUAAUGACCAUGCAUGCAGGAUUCCCCUGUGUGUCAACUCUGCAGGCUUACACUGCACAGGGCAAUGUGACAAGGGUCUCAUAAGGACUCUUACUUGAUUCUUGCAACAAAGUUGGCCAGACUAGCCAUUAACAGGGAUAUUUCUAGAGCCAGGCUGACUGGACUAACACACAGUUCUCAGACUCUGGGCUAAUAAGAGUCCUCACUUCAUUGGAUUACUGCGAAGUUAGAAAGAUUAAUGCAUAGAAAGAAUGGCACCUGAUACCCAGGAAGUUCUCAAUGAAUGUUAGCUAUUACCAUGUUCAUGUCACAGGUAAGGGACUUGAAGCACAGAGAGGAGACUGCACCUGGCCAAGGUCAAGGCUGAAGUAAGGUACAGAGCUGGGAUUCAAACCCACACUGUGAUGCUCAUGCAGCCAUAGGAAGCUGGUAGCCCCAGGGCCAAAUAGGCCUUUCAGUGUAUUUUAUUUGGUUCCCACAGUGAGCUUUAAAUCAUUAUUAUUAUUGAAUUUGUUGCCAAUAUUUUGAAGUGGGUGGUUUCAUGUGCAAAUCUGCAUUUGUAAUUUCUCUUGAAAAACUAACUGAAAGACCUGGCCACAUGAAGCCUGUGCUCUGGCUGGCCAGGACUGACUGCACCUGAUGUACUGUAGUCCCUACCCUGACAAGGUUGACGAGUUAGGAUGACAGCCAGAGCUAUUUGCUUCCUCACUACUGUGAAAUUUUGCCACUCAGUGUGGGCCACAAGAGAGGUGAAGAAAGUAAUAUGGGAGGUGUCAUAAGGGUGGUAUCGCCUCUGGUUUGGGGGUGGGGAGGGAAGGUCAGAAAGCUUCACAAGGAUUCAGAGCAAGUAGAGUGAUUUGCUGAGGGUCACACAGCCAGGAUGUAGUGGAUCUGAGGUGUGAACUCACGCCUCCUGGCACAAAGCCCGCUCCACCUGCUGGAGGAAGGGCCUGCCAGGUCCAGCCGCAGAACACGAUCACCCGAGGAGCUCGUUAGACACUUACAGCCAGGCCCUACCCACAGACAUCUGCAGCAGCCAGGACAAGGCAUGCAGCCUGGACACACAGAAGUCAAUCAUCUCAUCCUCUGCUGGUUGCUGAGAAACACCCCCUGAGCAAAUGCUGAGCCUAUUGCUGGGUCCAGGGCCGGGGACGCUGCGAGGAGAGCUGACUAAUAAACCUUCCCCAGCCUCUAACAGGGGGACCUUACAUCAACAGCUAAUUUGUGAGAGCUGCGUAUUAUGUGCAAAGUCCUGGGCUAGAAUUAAUAAGGGACCCAAGACAGCAUGCCUCUAUCGCUGUCAUCGGGUCAUGUGUGGUCACAUGGAGAGACCGUUGUACAAUGUGGUUGGGUUGAACCAUGAAUGGCAAAUGGAUUUCCUCUUGUGCACUGACUCUAAUGGACGGGAGCGGCAGCCUGGGUUGCUGUUCUCCGUGCCACUGGAGGACUGUGUCGAGAAGGAUUCCGAGGCCUACCUAGGCUGAAUGGGAAAGAGUGUAUUGAGCGAUGAGUAGUAUCUGCUACCGUUUGGGAUAAGGAAAGCCAACAACACAUGCUAUGUCUAUUUUCCUUCUCUGAGCUAAAUGUCUGGCACAACCUAGGAAGAGCAACAGGAAGUUGGAGCAGGGAGAGAGCCCACAUUGGGUUGGAGUGGUUCGAGGAGGCUUUCCAGAGAGCAGUGGGGCAAGUCUAGAGUGAUUAAGAAGAAGGGGAAAAGACAUCUUUCUGGGAGUUAUCAAACCGUAAAGCUGUGCUUAGGGCAGAUGGAAUGGUGUUUGAGAUGCUUUUGGUUUUCCCCACCACCUUCCUAUGAGGGUUGGCUGCCUCCUGAGGUCCUCAGUCUGUUCAGAGCUAUCUGCUAGUUCGAAGACCUUUGGAGAAGCGGCAGAGCUCUAGUAAUUCUCCCUGCCUUUAUAGUAAGCACCUGUUAUUAAAAAAACAAAAUCUAGAGUUAUGAAAUAGCUUUUCGUCUUGAACACCAACCGUCACUAGUAAGUAGCAGCUUCCUGAACACUGUUGAAAAGGAUUCUGAGGCUGCAUGUAAGCUCCAUGGGAAAGUGUGCAGCAAUUGAUUAAUAAUGUCUGCUGAGGGCCCUGGAAUGGAGAGCAGGGCACACCCAAGCCAUGUAUGGGCCACUGCUGACCUAGUUAAUUGUCUGGAAAGGGGAAGGUGUGGUGAAGGAGAGAUGCCUGCUGGGGUCUGGAUCCCACCCCUGACUCCUCUGGUACCACCUUGUGCUGGCUGCAUUUGAGGAAACCUGGAUCCAGAGUCUGUCCAUAUACUGAGGUCCAGUCAGCUGUGGUCAGCACAGGACACUGUGCACAGGUUACCCACCCUAGCACACAUGUACAUCCCCUUUAAGAGUCUCUUCCCAUCCUCAUCCCAGCAUUUCAGUCCUAAAGGACCCCAUCCACAGCCCCAAUCUUUCAGCUGCUGCUUUGAUCCCUCCCCUAUAUCUGUCCCCUACAUCUCUUUGCCAUUACUUUCAAUGGCAAAAACUGAAAUUACUUUUGCACCAAAAUCACACACCGUAUAAACAUGAGACAUGUUAUUAUAAUUGUUGUUAUUUUUAGGGAUGAAGGAGUCUGCCUGGGGUUCCUUAACAUUUUAGCUUGGAAGUUUCAACCACUUCCUCUCCCAGGAGAUUCCUUAACAUCCAAAGGAAUGAAUCACAGAUAGUGGGAGGGAGGUACAGUGACAUCAGUCUUCUCAUCUGUAAAAGGGGGUGGUGUGAAUGUCAGUCCCUUAGGGAAGUUGUGAGGAUUGAAAGAGAUAUAGUGGUGACACGCAUAGCAUUGGCCCCUGUAUGCACCCUAUAACUACAGGACAUUUCUAUUACAGUUUCUGAUGUUAUUACUGGGGUUAGGGAGUCUACCUGGCAUCUCUCAAAACUCACCUUAAAGGUGGCUGCUGAGACCCUCCUCUGCUUCCCCUUGGGCCUAGAAGAUGGACUUGGCUCUUUAUUUUAAUUUUUAUUUUUUGAGACGGAGUCUUGCUCUGUCGCCCAGGCUGGAGUGCAAUGGCUC